rnacentral:tRNA from 1 species
CGAGGACUGGCCGGGCGGCGGCUGCUGGCCGGGCUGCUGCCCCGGCUGGCCCGGCUGCUGAGGCGCCCCGACCCGUUCGGCCUGGAUCACCUCGC